GGUACCUAAUCAGAAAGCCACGGCUAACUACGUGCCAGCAGCCGCGGUAAUACGUAGGUGGCAAGCGUUAUCCGGAAUUAUUGGGCGUAAAGCGCGCGUAGGCGGUUUUUUAAGUCUGAUGUGAAAGCCCACGGCUCAACCGUGGAGGGUCAUUGGAAACUGUAAAACUUGAGUGCAGAAGAGGAAAGUGGAAUUCCAUGUGUAGCGGUGAAAUGCGCAGAGAUAUGGAGGAACACCAGUGGCGAAGGCGACUUUCUGGUCUGUAACUGACGCUGAUGUGCGAAAGCGUGGGGAUCAAACAGGAUUAGAUACCCUGGUAGUCCAC
rnacentral:rRNA from 1 species